rnacentral:lncRNA from 1 species
UCACACGUUCUCUUCUCUAUCAAAUUCUCUCUACUGAAACCCUAAUCUUCAGGCAUCGUCACCGGCUUAGCCCUCCAUUCUAUGAUAUUUCUUUGUCGUCUCAGGCCUCUAUUGGCCUCCUACUUGCUAUGGUUCAUCGGUUUCUUAGAUCCUUGAGAAGAUCUCAAGGGACCUAGGUGGUCUGAAUUGCACCUUUGAUCUCUUUGCCUAUUUCACGCCAUUUGCUCGGCCAUGAAUAAGAUGUCUCUCCUAUUUUGAUACGAAUUCAUGAUUUGAUAAGUCUAUGACCUCAUCUCUGUUAUAC